GCGUGUCACACAUGUGAUGUCAUAACCAUUGUCCACCAGAGAGCAGCACUGAGCAGAAAUAACACUGCUCCUGCUCAUUCUUCAUCAGUGAGGGGCUGAUGUUGGACACUGUAGGGACCCUGGAAUAUAGGUGUAUACACAUGACUGAUGCAGUAUUUCCAGGAUGUGGAGUCGCAUUUCCGGACUUACAGUAAGAUGACUGUAUUUCCAGGAUGUGGAGUCCCAUUUCCGGACUUACAGCAAGAAGUUGGAUGAAGGCCCAGCCCCAGGAAUCACGCACAUACACAGACACAUUUGCCCAAAUUCUAGAGGUAACCUCCUUUAGUAUGCCCAGAGGAAGGGCAAUACAGUAGCCAUGGAUUCCCUACAGGUUUCCUCCCCUCUGGAGGUUUUUCCUGUCCUGAGUUAGUUACUGUACGCUCUUUGUGAGUGAUGGGAGGUUACAAAAAAAUCCCGACACAAACAUUUUAAUAAAUAAUAAAUAAAGUUCCCCUUUUUUAAACUGAU